GCUGUAAAUUUGGUUAUGAAUCAUAGAAUUAUUUGGGUUGGAAGGAACCUUAAGGAUCACCCAGUCCCAACCCCCGACAUGGGCAGGGACAUCUCCCACUAAACCAGGAUGCCCAAAGCCCCAUCCAACCUGGCCUUGAACACCUCCAGGGAUGGGGCAUCUACAGCUUCUCUAGUCAACCCG